AUGGAGAAUGCAUUGCUGAAGCUUUGGUCAAUGGUUGAAGAGAGCAAGUCUGCUAGGGUGAAUGAUAAUCUUCAAAGUGCUUUAACUAUUCACCAUUUGACAAAAGAAAAGAAGAAGCUGGAUGCAGAUUAUGACAAGUUAGUGAAAGAUGUGCAUCAACUUGUGAACUUUCAGCAGGAUAGGGUUGUGGAUUUCAGUUAUCUACAAUCAACUGUCACAUAUCAGCACGAAUGCAGAGCUGAAUUAGUGGCUCGUAAGAAUGCAGAAAUGGCAAAGAAAGAUGCAGCUACAGAGAAGCUUCAACAGAAGUAUGAAAUCUUGUGCAACCUGACAAGUGCUCAAGCAAUUGCCAUCCAAAACCUCAAGUUGAAGAAUAUGAAAGAGAAGGAAUUGCUGAGUGAGGCUGGGAUGAAUUUGGAGUUGAAGAAUGCAGAGUUCACAAAGUUUGAGGAGAAGCUCACCCAAGAGAAGCUAGAGUUGAAGUUCCAGGUUGCUGAUCUGCUGAAGCUCAAGGAAAACCAUAAUGAAGAGAAGCAGAUGCAAGAGUUUAAGAUAAUUGAGCUCAUGAAGGCAGAGGAGAAGCUGAAGGAGAAGAUCAAGGGAACCAGACCAUCUUGGAGAACU
rnacentral:rRNA from 1 species